rnacentral:rRNA from 1 species
CGUACUCCAAACCCUUUGUGAACAUACCUGUUUUCGUUGCUUCGGC